rnacentral:snRNA from 1 species
AGCCACUCAAUAAGCACAUAGCGAACUAUUUUUUUGCAUUUUACUAAAGAAUAAAGAAUAAAGAAUACCGUGUGUGUAUUGCAAUUAGUGGUAGAGUUCUCAAAUUGUGUCUAAGUUGAUGGGUAG